GAAUGACUCAUGAAGAUAUUGUUCAAGAAUCUAAAAAGUAUUGGCACCAAAUGGAGGCACAUGCUGGCAAAGCAAACAACAAUAUGAUUGUGACUUGAUGCAACUCUAGUAGUGCAGAGCAGAUUUUCAUACUUUGCAGCUGCCUAAGGCACUACUUUGCACCAUCAUACCUAAACUUUUUGAGAAAGCAUGGAUGAACAUAAGACAUUUGAUGCAGCUGACGUAAAACCAAAGAACAGACAUGAAAAGAGUCAACAAGAAUUUUGUAGACUUUGGACUAAAAUGAGUGUUGUAAUAGCCCACCCAAAGCAAGGCACCCUGUUUGGCCUGCAUUGCCAUCUACAUUUAUAUCUGCUUAAGCAAGUUGAAUCAAAUAAAAAAUAAUCCUGCAUAAUU